AAAUUAAGGGCAACAUUAGUAUUUCGCUGUUUAAAAUUAGUUUUCUCAAUUGAUUAAAAGAAAAAAAUCCGGUUUGCAAAAUAAAAAGGAAAUUAACAAAAAUAUCGAACUCUGAUGCAAAUUCAAAACAAAAGGUCCCUAAUGGAAUGGCAAAAUCAAAAGCGCAAACACAUCAAAUAAAUGGAUAACUGUCAGAUUCUUGACUUAGUACAGACAUUUCAAUAUGUAGAGCACGGUGGAUUAAACCCAGUUUUAUAGCUAGCUUAACCUCUCACUUGUAUGACAGUCGCAAGGAAUGUUAUAUAUUAUCAACAAUGUGUGAACAAAACAAACGGACAUUAUAGGUAAAAAUGUAAAAAAAAAAAAUAGGGAUACCACGGUCAACAUUGGGAUAUCAUUUCAAUUACGUUAAAAACAAACAAAAACUGUCAAAAAAGAAAAACAAAGAAAAACAAAGAAAAACAAAAUAAAAUAUAGACAAAGCACACCAACAAAAAUAAAAGACAAGAAUACAAAAAAACCAACAGCACAACACAUUGACAGGAUGCAGAAUUAUCGAGCCACGCCAAAAGCGCAUUACAAAAAAUGACUCAACAGUUAUACUUAAAAAAGACAAAUAAAAAAGCCCACUAAAACAUGUAAUUAUAAGACGAUAAACAAACAACGUCAGCACCGAUAAGCUAUACGUCAAGACCAUCCUGUACUAUUUGUGAAGUUCAUACGGAAUAUUUAUUAAAAAGGUCUUGAUCUCUUCC
rnacentral:lncRNA from 1 species